rnacentral:rRNA from 1 species
UACGUAGGGCGCAAGCGUUGUCCGGAAUUAUUGGGCGUAAAGAGCUCGUAGGCGGUUUGUUACGUCCGCUGUGAAAACCCAGGGCUUAACCCUGGGCUUGCAGUGGAUACGGGCAGACUAGAGGUAGGUAGGGGAGAAUGGAAUUCCCGGUGUAGCGGUGAAAUGCGCAGAUAUCAGGAGGAACACCGGUGGCGAAGGCGGAUCUCUGGGCCAUUACUGACGCUGAGGAGCGAAAGCGUGGGGAGCGAACAGG